UGGACGUGAUGAUACUCGA
rnacentral:siRNA from 1 species